UACGGAGGGUGCGAGCGUUGUCCGGAAUCACUGGGCGUAAAGGGCGCGUAGGCGGUUUGUCGCGUUGUCCGUGAAAACUCACAACUCAAUUGUGGGCGUGCGGGCGAUACGGGCAGACUGGAGUACUGCAGGGGAGACUGGAAUUCCUGGUGUAGCGGUGGAAUGCACAGAUAUCAGGAGGAACACCGGUGGCGAAGGCGGGUCUCUGGGCAGUAACUGACGCUGAGGAGCGAAAGCGUGGGGAGCGAACAGG
rnacentral:rRNA from 1 species